GUCAUGCUUGUCCGAGACAAUCCUUGACAUUCAGCCUGUUGUUUUGGAGGAAGGCAAAAGGUUCAUCGAUGGAAAGGAGUUGCCUUGUCUAAGAUGAGACUUUGGACUGUGGACUUUUGAGUUAAUGCUGAAACGAGUUAAGACUUUGGGGGACUGUUGGGAAGGCAUGAUUGGUUUUGAAACGUGAGGACAUAAAAUUUGGGAGGGACCAGGGGCAGAAUGAUGUGGUUUGGCUGUGUCCCCACCCAAAUCUCAUCUUGAAUUGUAGCUCCCAUAAUUCCCCCAUGGUGUUGGAGGGAGCUGGUGGGAGAUAAUUGAAUCAUGGGGGUGGUUUCCCCCAUACUAUUCUCAUGGUAGUGAAUAAGUCUUGAGAUCUGAUGGUUUGAUAAGGGGUUUCCCCUUUCACUUGGCUCUGAUGUUCUCUCUUGCCUGCCACUAGGUAAGACAUGCCUUUCACCUUCUGCUUUGAUUGCGAGGCCUCCCAAGCCAUGUGGAACUGAGUCCAUUAGACCUUUUUUUCUUUAUAAAUUACCCAGUCUUGGUAAUGUCUUUAUCAGCAGUGUGAAAAUGGACUAAUAUAGUUCCAAAGAAGGGGAAGACUUUAUAACUGUUGAAACCUGAUAUAAAUAUUGUAUAAUAUAAAAGCUACAUAAGUAUUACAUAAUAAAAUUACCUAAAGGUACAUAAAAUGAGCUAUAUAUAUUAUCAAACAUCAUUCAUGGUUUUAUUUGCUUUAUAAUAAUGUAAAAACCUCACCUCCUUCAUCAAGGGAGCAAUAUAAAAGACAAAAUGAGUAUCAGCUUGGGGCGGAAACUAUUGCCAUCAUAUCCAGAUUAUUUGUUUUUCCCUUCAACUAAUUUCUACAAGUAGUAUCUCUGGCAAGUCAGAGUAGUAUCUCUGCCUCAAUGACUCACCCACACCCGGAUCCACACCGAGAGAGAGAAAUUUGGAGAGAGCCACCUCCCUCUACCACCUCCUUUCAAAUUGUUCUUUCCAAAACCCUAAUCAGGCUCCAGACCCUUCAGAAAACCUUUCAGAAAAUACUUUUCUUUUGCUAGAAAUCCUUCUGCAUGGUACAGGUUGAGUUCCCUCUUCCAAAAUGCUUGGGACCAGAGUGUUUUGGAUUUCAGAUUUUUUUUUUUUUGAUUUUGGAAUAUUUGCAUUAUACCAGUUCAGCAUCCUUAAUCUGAAAAUCCAAAAUCUGAGAUGCUCCAAUGAGCAUUUUCUUUGAGCAUCAUGUCUGUGCUCAAAAAGUUUCAGAGUUUGGAACAUUCUGGAUUUCAGACUUUUGGAUUAGGGAUGCUUAACCCC
rnacentral:lncRNA from 1 species